GGAAGUCCGCCGGAGAUGGUGAGCCGGGCCGGUCCGUAAAACCGGUGCCCUUGCGGGCUGAGCAAGUUCGAGCCUUGCGGCUUCCA
rnacentral:tRNA from 1 species